CGAUGAUGCCAAUCGUACGUGCAGCUUGCUGGUGGAUUAGUGGCGAACGGGUGAGUAACACGUGAGUAACCUGCCCUUAACUCUGGGAUAAGCAUGCACUGGGAAACUGGGUCUAAUACCGGAUAUGACUCCUCAUCGCAUGGUGGGGGGUGGAAAGCUUUAUUGUGGUGCAGUUUUGGAUGGACUCGCGGCCUAUCAGCUUGUUGGUGAGGUAAUGGCUCACCAAGGCGACGACGGGUAGCCGGCCUGAGAGGGUGACCGGCCACACUGGGACUGAGACACGACCCCAGACUCCUACGGGAGGCAGCAGUGGGGAAUAUUGCACAAUGGGCGAAAGCCUGAUGCAGCGACGCCGCGUGAGGGAUGACGGCCUUCGGGUUGUAAUACACCUCUUUCAGUAGGGAAGAAGCGAAAGUGACGGUACCUGCAGAAGAAGCGCCGGCUAACUACGUGCCAGUACAGCCGCGGUAAUACGUAGGGCGCAAGCGUUAUCCGGAAUUAUUGGGCGUAAAGAGCUCGUAGGCGGUUUGUCGCGUCUGCCGUGAAAGUCCGGGGCUCAACUCCGGAUCUGCGGUGGGUACGGGCAGACUAGAGUGAUAUAGGGGAGACUGGAAUUCCUGGUGUAGCGGUGAAAUGCGCAGAUAUCAGGAGGAACACCGAUGGCGAAGGCCAGGUCUCUGGGCAUUAACUGACGCUGAGGAGCGAAAGCAUGGGGAGCGAACAGGAUUAGAUACCCUGGUAGUCCAUGCCGUAAACGUUGGGCACUAGGUGUGGGGGACAUUCCACGUUUUCCGCGCCGUAGCUAACGCAAUUAAGUGCCCCGCCUGGGGAGUACGGCCGCAAGGCUAAAACUCAAAGGAAUUGACGGGGGCCCGCACAAGCGGCGGAGCAUGCGGAUUAAUUCGAUGCAACGCGAAGAACCUUACCAAGGCUUGACAUGAACCGGAAAUACCUGGAAACAGGUGCCCCGCUUGCGGUCGGUUUACAGGUGGUGCAUGGUUGUCGUCAGCUCGUGUCGUGACGAUGUUGGGUUAAGUCCCGCAACGAGCGCAACCCUCGUUCUAUGUUGCCAGCGCGUUAUGGCGGGGACUCAUAGGAGACUGCCGGGGUCAACUCGGAGGAAGGUGGGGACGACGUCAAAUCAUCAUGCCCCUUAUGUCUUGGGCUUCACGCAUGCUACAAUGGCCGGUACAAAGGGUUGCGAUACUGUGAGGUGGAGCUAAUCCCAAAAAGCCGGUCUCAGUUCGGAUUGGGGUCUGCAACUCGACCCCAUGAAGUCGGAGUCGCUAGUAAUCGCAGAUCAGCAACGCUGCGGUGAAUACGUUCCCGGGCCUUGUACACACCGCCCGUAACAAGGUA
rnacentral:rRNA from 1 species